rnacentral:lncRNA from 1 species
UGAGGAGAUUGGGUUGGAGGGAUAGAGGGAAGCAGCACAGCAGCAUCCCUUCCAGGCCUAUUUAUAGAAGCGGUGCAUUUGGAGUCUGAACCAACACCUGUCCACAAGGAGUCCUCUUGGACGCUCACAUCAGUACACACACACACACACAUCCCUUUCACCUUUCACCCCUGGGGGAAGCUUUCAAUCGGAAGCAGGGCGGCAUGCCAGAGACUGUGGAUGAGCAACGCUUUAACUGCCAAUAUUUGUAAUAACUUUAUCUCUCUCUCACACACACACACACACACACACACACACACAUUCACGUAAACCUGCCAGGUUACUGGGCAAGCACUGCACCUUGACAGUGUGCCAGUCACAUCAAAAGAUGGGGAAACUGAGAGCCAAAUCUGAGGCGAAGCUUUUGAUCAUUGAGAAAACAGCUGAAAAAUACAAAAAAAAAAUCUCACCGCUUUAUUCUUUUUCCCCUCCCUCGUUCACUUCCUCUGACAUUUACUCACUGGCUUUAUUCUUUGUUAAAUGUAAUGGCCUCCGUGUAUUACUUGGUUAGAUGGAGGCCAAGUCUAAAUUGUUUUUUUUCCUGUAUUCAGCAGUUUUAUACCUUUCUCUUGCCCCUCAUUAGCUUGGUUUUAAUGUGACCCAAUAGGUUAAAAGUUUACUUAAUUUAGAGACAUAAUUACAACUUUGUAAGAGUUUUUUGGUUGAAAGGUGUUUACACACCUGUGUGUUCAUUGGUGACUCACUGCUUUCAGCUAAAUAAAAGUGCUGCUGUUAUCAAUACUGUACACUUACGAUGUCUUAUAUUGUCUCUCACUGCAGCAGCCGUUCAGGGGGGAGUUACGAUGGCCGUUCUGCCCACUCAUAUCCUUUUUCUGCAGACGUGCAGCAGUAUACCAGAUUUUCUACUGUUUCAAUGAAGCUGCGAGAAAAAUUCUGCCACCAUCAGCAGGUGGUAAACAAUCAGUUCUACCCAAAGUUUAAUUUUUCCAGCUUUUUUUUUUUUUUAUAAUUUUAUUUCAAAUUUUUCCCAUUUUCUCCCCAAUUUACACGGCCAAUUACCCAACCCCUAUCACUAGUGAUGCUCCAACACAUCAGCAGGGUGAAGACUAACACAUGAUUCCUCCAAUACAUGUGAAUCAGCCACCGCUUCUUUUCGAGCUGCUGCUGAUGCAGCAUUGCCGAGUAGCAUCACAGCGCACUAAAGCGAAGCGGCUUGGUUUCGAUACAUCAGCUCACAGACGCCCUGUGCUGCGG